rnacentral:rRNA from 1 species
GAUGAACGCUGGCGGCGUGCUUAACACAUGCAAGUCGAGCGAAGCACUUAAGUUCGAUUCUUCGGAUGAAGACUUUUGUGACUGAGCGGCGGACGGGUGAGUAACGCGUGGGUAACCUGCCUCAUACGGGGGGAUAACGGUUAGAAAUGGCUGCUAAUACCGCAUAAGACCACAGUACUGCAUGGUACAGUGGUAAAAAAUCCGGUGGUAUGAGAUGGACCCGCGUCUGAGUAGGUAGUUGGUGAGGUAACGGCCCACCAAGCCGACGAUCAGUAGCCGACCUGAGAGGGUGACCGGCCACAUUGGGACUGAGACACGGCCCAGACUCCUACGGGAGGCAGCAGUGGGGAAUAUUGCACAAUGGGCGAAAGCUUGAUGCAGCGACGCCGCGUGAAGGAUGAAGUAUUUCGGUAUGUAAACUUCUAUCAGCAGGGAAGAAAAUGACGGUACCUGACUAAGAAGCCCCGGCUAACUACGUGCCAGCCGCCGCCGUAA